UACGUAGGCAGCAAGCGUUGUUCGGAGUUACUGGGCGUAAAGGGUGUGUAGGCGGUUUUUUAAGUUUGGUGUGAAAUCUCCCGGCUCAACUGGGAGGGUGCGACGAAUACUGAAAGACUAGAGUGCGGGAGAGGAAAGUGGAAUUCCUGGUGUAGCGGUGAAAUGCGUAGAUAUCAGGAGGAACACCGGUGGUGUAGACGGCUUGCUGGACCGUAACUGACGCUGAGACACGAAAGCGUGGGUAGCAAACAGG
rnacentral:rRNA from 1 species